AGUCGACGAUGAAGCCCUUCGGGGUGGAUUAGUGGCGAACGGGUGAGUAACACGUGGGCAAUCUGCCCUUCACUCUGGGACAAGCCCUGGAAACGGGGUCUAAUACCGGAUAACACUUCCCUCCUCCUGGAGGGUGGUUAAAAGCUCCGGCGGUGAAGGAUGAGCCCGCGGCCUAUCAGCUUGUUGGUGAGGUAAUGGCUCACCAAGGCGACGACGGGUAGCCGGCCUGAGAGGGCGACCGGCCACACUGGGACUGAGACACGGCCCAGACUCCUACGGGAGGCAGCAGUGGGGAAUAUUGCACAAUGGGCGAAAGCCUGAUGCAGCGACGCCGCGUGAGGGAUGACGGCCUUCGGGUUGUAAACCUCUUUCAGCAGGGAAGAAGCGAAAGUGACGGUACCUGCAGAAGAAGCGCCGGCUAACUACGUGCCAGCAGCCGCGGUAAUACGUAGGGCGCAAGCGUUGUCCGGAAUUAUUGGGCGUAAAGAGCUCGUANGCGGCUUGUCACGUCGGUUGUGAAAGCCCGGGGCUUAACCCCGGGUCUGCAGUCGAUACGGGCAGGCU
rnacentral:rRNA from 1 species